rnacentral:lncRNA from 1 species
ACAUAAUAAUAUUACUAUUAUAUUCUAUUAUGUUCCAAAUAUUAUUAUUAAAUUUUAAAUAUUAUUAUUAUAUUUUAAAGGAAAAAUUUUAAAAAUUUUCUAUGUGGUUUCGUACUUUUUCAUUUUAGUAUUCUGUAGUUUAAAAUAUAUCAAGUUAGUACUCUGUGGUUUCGCACUUUUUCACUUUAGUACCCUGUGGUUUAAAGUGUAUCAAGUUAGUACUCUGUGGUUUUAUUUUUAUAUCAAGUUACUAUCCUGUGGUUUUAUUUUUGUAUCAAGUUAGUAAUCUAUGGUUUAAAAACCACAUGGUAUUAAAGUGAGAAAGUGCGAAAGCAUAGGGUACUAAUAAAGUGAGAAAGUGCGAAACCACAGGGUACUAAAGUUAAAAAGUGCAAAACUAUAGAGUACUAAUUUGAUACACUUUAAACCAUAUGGUACUAAAGUGAAAAAAAGUGAAACACAAGGGGGUAUUUGAAGUUUC